UACGUAGGGUGCAAGCGUUGUCCGGAAUUAUUGGGCGUAAAGAGCUCGUAGGCGGCUUGUUGCGUCGUCCGUGAAAACCUGUGGCUCAACUACAGGCUUGCGGUCGAUACGGGCGGGCUGGAGUUCGGUAGGGGAGACUGGAAUUCCUGGUGUAGCGGUGAAAUGCGCAGAUAUCAGGAGGAACACCGGUGGUGUAAACGGCUUUCUGGACCAUAACUGACGCUGAGGCACGAAAGCGUGGGUAGCAAACAGG
rnacentral:rRNA from 1 species